AGCGAACGCUGGCGGCAGGCCUAACACAUGCAAGUCGAACGAACUCUUCGGGGUUAGUGGCGGACGGGGGAGUAACACGUGGGAACGUGCCCGUAGGUUCGGAAUAACUCAGGGAAAGUUGUGCUAAUACCGAAUGGGCCCUUCGGGGGAAAGAGUUAUCGCGGUUUGAGCGGCCCGGGUCUGAUUAGCCAGUUGGGGAGGUAAAGGCGCACCAAGGCGACGAUCAGUAGCUGGUCUGAGAGGAUGAUCAGCCACAUUGGGACUGAGACACGGCCUAAACUCCGACGGGAGGCAGCAGUGGGGAAUCUUGCGCAAUGGGCGAAAGCCUGACGCAGCCAUGCGGCGUGAAUGAUGAAGGUCGUAGGAUUGUAAAAUUCUUUCACCGGGGACGAUAAUGACGGUACCCGGAGAAGAGGCCCCGGCUAACUUCGUG
rnacentral:rRNA from 1 species